GGCUAAAGGAGCAAAGGGAACACCGGUGUGAACAGAGAAAUAACCACAAGAAGUAGCUACCGCUCCAUAGGGCUGCGGGAACAAAAGGAAGUUGCUGGGAUUAUUUUAAUCUAGAAAUUUCGAGGAGGAGCCUCUUGGAGCUGGGAUGCAGAUCCCUGAGGAGGAAGCCAUAUCCGGGUGGUGCUGGCACCACUGCGAGGGUAAAAUGAGGCUGGCUCCGGAGUUGAAAAGGCAGUUACACAAUUACAGGGAGCAAUUGUAUCAUCUUGGGUUGGUCCAGUGUACAGGGUUAACUGCUCCUGACUGUGACGUCUUUGGGAUUCAGAACAGGGCCCAGACCUGACGGCUCCAUGCUCCCUGUACCACGGAUGAUCAUGUUGGACAUUCUUAUAACAUUUGUGAAGAUGGAGUUUUGCAAGUCUCUCCUGGGCUCCAUUUAAUAAAUGUGUUUGCUGGCAAAUUCAAUUCUCUAUUCUUUCAUUUUCUCCUCUUGUCUGACAUUUUAAUGACUCCUCUUGUCUGAGUCUGGU
rnacentral:lncRNA from 10 species